CCGCCCGCCGCGGCGACAGCAGCUGGUCCGGGUUCACCGCUGCCAGGCCGUGCUCAGCCCCGCUUCCCCCCCGCCGGUUCCCAGCGCCACGUGACUACAGAGGCUGCCGAGGGCUCUGUGAAGAUGUUCAAGUAUUAUUUAGAAGCAGCUCUGUGUCUGCAAGAGGGAAAACUCCAUCCACCUAUUGGGAACAGACUGUUUCAGGCCCCGUUCAUACAUCCAACAAAUAUUUAAUCAGUGUGCACCAUCUCCCGUGGCGCCAGGUGCUGGCCUGAUCGGGAGCCAGGCAGAAGGGUCCUCGCUGUUUUUCCACAAUGCCGUAUAACCCUGGAUUAGUGGCGGCCAUGUCUCUUGGGUUAGUACUUAAA